AAUAACAUAGUCUUGACGGGGUCUAGUAAUUUAUUAUAGUUGCUCGAGAGAGAAUUACGGCACCUAAAGUGCUCAUGAUCAGUAUAGAAUACAUUGGCGAAAUUGUAGGGAACAUAGCUAGAAGGAUUCCGACAAUUGGGGAAAUCAUAACUCUGGACCUCCUUAAUUUAGUCUUCAACCCUUAGUCUAGUUAAUUGAUAAUUUUACCGUUUUCUAGUAAUUGCUAGUUAAUUAGUUAGAAAUAUAAAUCUCAAUAUUUAUGACUUAGAAAAUUGUUCAAUCUUGUCUUCUCAGCGAUAUUAAACAGAUACAGCUAAGCCUUAGUUAUCUGCGUCGAAUCUUGGAAAAACAAUUUCAUAUGGAGAUAGGGACCUUGAGCCAUUUAAGAAGUUAUGACUGUCAUGUUUUCAUGGAUACUUUAGUGCCUAUUGCAUUUUGUGGUUUGAUACUCUUUAGAUGCAAGUGAUUUAACUCAAAUCCAAUAAGAGGUACAAGAGUAGACAAUCAAUACAACAUGAUUGAGGUUAAUCAUAUGAGGGGGUAUGAUCGUUAUGAUCCUUUCAUAAUUUCACAUAAUUUUAGGCAAGUGUCUUAUUCUCCUUAUACACUACGGCGGAAUAAGUCCAAUUGGUGGAUUGUAAUAAAAACUAAGGCUGUAGGUAGGGUGG
rnacentral:lncRNA from 1 species